CAUGGCUCAGAUUGAACGCUGGCGGCAUGCCUUACACAUGCAAGUCGAACGGCAGCACGGGAGCUUGCUCCUGGUGGCGAGUGGCGAACGGGUGAGUAAUAUAUCGGAACGUGCCCUAGAGUGGGGGAUAACUAGUCGAAAGAUUAGCUAAUACCGCAUACGAUCUACGGAUGAAAGUGGGGGAUCGCAAGACCUCAUGCUCAUGGAGCGGCCGAUAUCUGAUUAGCUAGUUGGUGGGGUAAAAGCUCACCAAGGCGACGAUCAGUAGCUGGUCUGAGAGGACGACCAGCCACACUGGAACUGAGACACGGUCCAGACUCCUACGGGAGGCAGCAGUGGGGAAUUUUGGACAAUGGGCGCAAGCCUGAUCCAGCAAUGCCGCGUGAGUGAAGAAGGCCUUCGGGUUGUAAAGCUCUUUUGUCAGGGAAGAAACGGUCUUGGUUAAUACCUGGGGCUAAUGACGGUACCUGAAGAAUAAGCACCGGCUAACUACGUGCCAGCAGCCGCGGUAAUACGUAGGGUGCAAGCGUUAAUCGGAAUUACUGGGCGUAAAGCGUGCGCAGGCGGUUAUACAAGACAGAUGUGAAAUCCCCGGGCUCAACCUGGGAAUUGCAUUUGUGACUGUAUGGCUAGAGUGUGUCAGAGGGGGGUAGAAUUCCACGUGUAGCAGUGAAAUGCGUAGAUAUGUGGAGGAAUACCGAUGGCGAAGGCAGCCCCCUGGGAUAACACUGACGCUCAUGCACGAAAGCGUGGGGAGCAAACAGGAUUAGAUACCCUGGUAGUCCACGCCCUAAACGAUGUCUACUAGUUGUCGGGUCUUAAUUGACUUGGUAACGCAGCUAACGCGUGAAGUAGACCGCCUGGGGAGUACGGUCGCAAGAUUAAAACUCAAAGGAAUUGACGGGGACCCGCACAAGCGGUGGAUGAUGUGGAUUAAUUCGAUGCAACGCGAAAAACCUUACCUACCCUUGACAUGUACGGAAUCCUGAAGAGAUUUAGGAGUGCUCGAAAGAGAACCGUAACACAGGUGCUGCAUGGCUGUCGUCAGCUCGUGUCGUGAGAUGUUGGGUUAAGUCCCGCAACGAGCGCAACCCUUGUCAUUAGUUGCUACGAAAGGGCACUCUAAUGAGACUGCCGGUGACAAACCGGAGGAAGGUGGGGAUGACGUCAAGUCCUCAUGGCCCUUAUGGGUAGGGCUUCACACGUCAUACAAUGGUACAUACAGAGGGCCGCCAACCCGCGAGGGGGAGCUAAUCCCAGAAAGUGUAUCGUAGUCCGGAUUGGAGUCUGCAACUCGACUCCAUGAAGUUGGAAUCGCUAGUAAUCGCGGAUCAGCAUGUCGCGGUGAAUACGUUCCCGGGUCUUGUACACACCGCCCGUCACACCAUGGGAGCGGGUUCUGCCAGAAGUAGUUAGCCUAACCGAAAGGAGGGCGAUUACCACGGCAGGGUUCGUGACUGGGGUGAAGUCGUA
rnacentral:rRNA from 1 species